UACAUUUGCCACGCUUUUGGUUCCUGGUGAUUUUUACCUGGAUUAAAAGGGAAUACGGUGUAAAUCCGUAACUGUCCCGCAGCUGUAAGCUCUAUAACGGUAUUCAAAUCGAAGCCACUUUUUUUUACUCUAUGUAGGGUUUGAAUUGGGAAGGCAGGAUCACCGGGAGUAAGUCAGAAGACCUGCCAUAAGUAUAAUAUUUCA
rnacentral:ncRNA from 2 species